GCCUCCGAGGACCAGAUUGAUGAUUAUAUUCGUUCAUCCGUGAAAAAUGCUUUUGAAAAGAUGAUGGAAGCAGCAAAUAAUAAAUCUGCUGAAUCUGAAGCAAAGGUAGGAAUAAGUGAGAUUAUGCUUCGAAUGGCUCAGGAGACUGAAAAUUUAGCAAAGAAGGAGAAACAAAGUUAUAGUCUAGUAUUGAAGAAAUGGCAUUCAAUAGCAGCUGCAGUAGCAGCAAUGACUCUAAACAAUUGCUACGGACAUGUGCUAAAG
rnacentral:sRNA from 1 species